GACGAACCGUGCGAACGUUAUUCGGAUUCACUGGGCUUAAAGGGCGCGUAGGCGGCGACUCAAGUCGGGGGUGAAAUCGUUCGGCUUAACCGGACAAGGGCUUCCGAUACUGGGUCGCUGGAGGGAGAUAGGGGUGCGCGGAACUUCCGGUGGAGCGGUGAAAUGCGUAGAUAUCGGAAGGAACGCCGGUGGCGAAAGCGGCGCACUGGAUCUCUACUGACGCUGAGGCGCGAAAGCGUGGGGAGCGAACGGG
rnacentral:rRNA from 1 species